AACCAACUAUCCUGAGUCAACUUGUUGACCAGAGCUCGACAUCCCCAAUUUAGCGUCCAGUUGACUCGAGAUUUUCUCAUCACCUGGGCAUUCUGCUAUAUCCAAUGAGCUUCUCCCUCAAAGUGAUGGCCCGAGUCUGACUCGAGAAGAGGGCAUUCCUUCUUCCAUCUUGGUAAGAUUACUUGACUCGGUGGCGAAGACUUGGAUCUUUAUGAUCAAAAGAGUGAAGCGUCUAACCUUUGGGGGUUUAGUGAAGGCGCUUGCUAUAGACUUGAUAGAGGUGUGGGUGGUGUGUAUGGAGAUAGCCACUUGGAUGCCAGAAUUUCUUCAAUCACAUUGAGUCCUACAAACUUGAUUAGGUGAGUUGGAGGCCAGCAAGUCUUGCCGAGUGGAGUGCUGGAGGAGGCGAGAGCAAACAUGGAGAGUUUGAAAGUUGAAGCCUUGGCCCAAGAGGAACAAGUGUGCAGGGUGACUCCAGAGCUAGAAACAACGAAGCUGGAAGUCAACUCCAAGAUAGAUUCUUUGGAGAAACAUGCAUCCAAUCUUCAAGUCUGCUUAAAGGCAGCCGAGUUGAGGCCCUCUUCUAAGAAAAAAAUGAUGGAAGAAAACACUCAUCGAGCUAGAGGUGAAAAGUGCCGAAUCUGAGACCCUCCGAUCCAAGCUAGGAGGGAAAGAGGCUGAGCUGAUAGCCAAGGACAUGCUACUAGAAAACUAGAAGGCAGAGCUGGAGGCUCUCAAGGCCGAGUUGGAAGUCCGAAGAGCAAAGUUGGAGAAUAUAGGGUAGGAGAAGCAAAGUGCUGGGCUGCCAAGAGGACGAAGUACCUGUAGUCAGAGGAAUUUUGCGACCUUCUCAGCACUCGCACCAUCAAGAUGUUCUCAUAUGGUGUGGAGGGAGUGAUAAAACAACUAUGAGGUGGGGCAUCUAACCACUGAGCUCCCUGAAGACUUUGUGAGUUUGCUGAAAAUCUAUGCUAAUAUCUCAGAUGAUGUGUUCAAGGAUUUUGCAUAAACCCCUUUGUACUCUUGUGAUUUUGCUCCACAAACUUGUAAUGCACUAAGUGCGUCCUUUUGAAUGAAUGAAAGUUGGCUUUUGAAAAAUUUACA